CCUAGCUGGACCUGGCACCCAGAUCACUUCAUUAAGCUGAAGUGGUCUGGGUGCCUAGAGUGGUCCUUUAAGCAUCUUGUUUGUUUUUCCAUGUCACUGGAAAAUAUCCCUUGAGUAAGUAAGCGAAGACUGAAUAAAAAAUAGAGAGAGAUUUAUUCAUUAAAUCAGGAUUUGUGGAGAACUCAGGGUAACUGGAAAUAUUGUGUUGUGAUUGCACACUGCCUUUUGAGGGUGCUACUGAGUCCUGCUACCUGUAGAUGGCGCUCACGUAUGCUGCCUACUGAAGGCACUCCCUUUAGCUGCCUGUAGAUGGCGCUCACGUAUGCCGCCUACUGAAGGCACUCCCUUUAGAUGCCUGUAGAUGGCGCUCACGUCUGCCGCCUACUGAAGGCACUUCCUUUAGCUGCCUGUAGAUGGCGCUCACGUAUGCCGCCUACUAAAGGCACUCCCUUUAGCUGCCUGUAGAUGGCGCUCACGUAAGCCGCCUACUGAAGGCACUCCCUUUAGCUGCCUGUAGAUGGGGCUCCUGCAUGCAGUCUGUAGAUGGCGCUCCUGCAUGCAGUCUAUAGAUGGCGCUCCUGCACGCAGUCUAUAGAUGGCGCUCCUGCACGCUGACUGUAGAUGGCGCUCCUGCAUGCAGGCUGUAGAUGGGGCUCCUGCAUGCAGUCUGUAGAUGGGGCUCCUGCAUGCAGUCUGUAGAUGGGGCUCCUGCAUGCUGGCUGUAGAUGGGGCUUCUGCAUGCUGGCUGUAGAUGGGGCUCCUGCAUGCUGGCUGUAGAUGGGGCUCCUGCAUGCUGGCUGUAGAUGGAGCUCCUGCAUGCUGGCUAUAGAUGGGGCUCCUGCAUGCAGUCUGUAGAUGGGGCUGUCAGCUCCUGUAGAUGGGGCUCCUGCAUGCUGGCUGUAGAUGCUCCUGCAUGCUGUGGAUGGGCGGUCCUGCAUGCAGUCUGUGGAUGGGGCUGUGCAUGCAGUUCAGUCUGUGUAGAUGGGGCUCCUGCAUGCAGUCUGUAGAUGGGGCUCCUGCAUGCUGGCUAUAGAUGGGGGCAUGGUCUGUAGAUGGGGCUUAGCAUGCAGUCUGUAGAUGGGGCUCCGUACAGUCUGUAGAUGGGGAGCUCCACGUACGGGGAGGUAGAUGGGGCUCCUGCAUGCAGUCUGUAGAUGGGGCUCCUGCAUGCAGUCUGUAGAUGGGGCUGUAGCAUGCAGUCUGUAGAUGGGGCUGUAGCAUGCAGUCUGUAGAUGGGGCUGUAGCAUGCAG
rnacentral:lncRNA from 1 species